rnacentral:lncRNA from 1 species
UUGGUAUCAGAGCAGAAUUGAUACAUGCUAUGCAUAAUUAAUUUUUUUGAUAUUUUUGCAUGAGAUAUAUGAUUAUAUUUUUAUGUAGAACAUUACAUCUAAUUUAGAUCUGUUAGUUAAAAAUUAUUUGAUCUGAUUUUGAUCAGAUUUCAAGAACCUAAUCAAUAAUUGAUGAUGGUUAGUUAUAAAUCUGUUAUAACAGA